GUUUAGAUAGCUUAAAUAAAGCAUGUUAUUGAAGCUAACAAUAUGGAUUUCCUCUAAACAAU
rnacentral:tRNA from 1 species